UGGGGAAUAUUGCACAAUAGGGGAAACCCUGAUGCAGCGACGCCGCGUGAGCGAAGAAGGCUUUCGAGUCGUAAAGCUCUGUCCUAUGAGAAGAUAAUGACGGUAUCAUAGGAGGAAGCCCUGGCUAAAUACGUGCCAGCAGCCGCGGUAAUACGUAUGGGGCGAGCGUUGUCCGGAAUUAUUGGGCGUAAAGGGUACGUAGGCGGUUUUUUAAGUCAGGUGUCAAAGCGUGGAGCUUAACUCCAUUAAGCACUUGAAACUGAAAGACUUGAGUGAAGGAGAGGAAAGUGGAAUUCCUAGUGUAGCGGUGAAAUGCGUAGAUAUUAGGAGGAAUACCGGUGGCGAAUGCGACUUUCUGGACUUUUACUGACGCUCAGGUACGAAAGCGUGGGGAGCAAACAGG
rnacentral:rRNA from 1 species